AGUGAACGCUGGCGGCGUGCCUAAUACAUGCAAGUCGAACGGAGUGGCGCACGGGUGAGGAAUAUAUAGCUACUCUGCCCCUUGCUGGAGGACAACAGUUAGAAAUGACUGCUAAUACUCCAUAGCAAGGGAUGAGACUAUAUCGUAUCAGCUAGUCGGUGGGGUAACGGCCUACCGAGGCUAUGACGCGUAACUGGUGUGAGAGGAUGAUCAGUCACAUUGGAGCGGAGACACGGUCCAAACUCCUACGGGAGGCAGCAGUAGGGAAUAAUGCGAAAUGGGGGAAACGCUGACGCAGUAACGCCGCGUGGAGGCUGACACUUUUCGGAGAGUAAACUCCUUUUGUUAGGGAAGCGGUACCUAACGAGUAAGCAACGGCUAACUCCGUGCCAGCAGCCGCGGUAAUUC
rnacentral:rRNA from 1 species